rnacentral:rRNA from 1 species
GACGAACGCUGGCGGCGUGCUUAACACAUGCAAGUCGAAGCGGUAAGGCCCUUUCGGGGGUACACGAGCGGCGAACGGGUGAGUAGCACGUGGGUGACCUGCCCUCAGCUCUGGGAUAAGCCUGGGAAACCGGGUCUAAUACUGGAUAUGACUCCAUGACGCAUGUUGUGGGGUGGAAAGCCUUGUGCGGCUGAGGAUGGGCCCGCGGCCUAUCAGCUUGUUGGUGGGGUGAGGCCUACCAAGGCGACGACGGGUAGCCGGCCUGAGAGGGCGACCGGCCACACUGGGACUGAGACACGGCCCAGACUCCUACGGGAGGCAGCAGUGGGGAAUCUUGCGCAAUGGGCGAAAGCCUGACGCAGCGACGCCGCGUGAGGGAUGACGGCCU